AACUCCCCCCUUUUUCUUAACCUAUAGGACAGGGAAUAACCUCCGGGAAACUGAGUAUCCUGCCCGAUAGAACAUUAUGCCUGGAAUGGUUUAUGUUCCAAAUGAUUUAUCGCCGUAGGAUGGGACUGCGGCCUAUCAGUUUGUUGGUGAGGUAAUGGCCCACCAAGACUAUUACAGGUACGGGCUCUGAGAGGAGUGGCCCGGAGAUGGGUACUGAGACACCGACCCAGGCCCUAUGGGGCGCACCAGGCGAGAAAACUUUGCAAUGUGCGAAAGCACGAAAAGGUUAAUCCGAGUGGUUUCUGCUAAAGGAACCUUUUGUCGGUCCUAGAAACACCGAUGAAUAAGGGGUGGGCAAGUUCUGGUGUCAGCCGCCGCGGUAAAACCAGCACCUCAAGUGGUCAGGAUGAUUAUUGGGCCUAAAGCAUCCGUAACCGGCUCUGUAAAGUUUUCGGUUAAAAUACUGUAUCGCUUAACGUACUGGCUGCCGGGAAUACUGCAGAGCUAGGGAGUGGGAGAGGUAGACGGUACUCGGGUAGGAGGGGGUAAAAUCCUUUGAUCUAUUGAUGACCGCCUGGUGGCAAAGGCGGUCUACCAUGACACGUCCCGACGGUGAGGGAUGAAAACUGGGGUGAGCCAAACCGGAUUAGACACCCCGGCUAGUCCCAUCCGUAAACCAUGCCAACCCAAGGACCCAUUGGUCUGGGGCCCAAUGUCGUGGCUCAGCGCAACCCAUUAAGUUUGCCGCCUUGGGA
rnacentral:rRNA from 1 species